UAGGGAAUCUUCGGCAAUGGGGGGAACCCUGACCGAGCAACGCCGCGUGAGUGAAGAAGGUUUUCGGAUCGUAAAGCUCUGUUGUUAAGGAAGAACGAGUGUGAGAAUGGAAAGUUCAUGCUGUGACGGUACUUAACCAGAAAGGGACGGCUAACUACGUGCCAGCAGCCGCGGUAAUACGUAGGUCCCGAGCGUUGUCCGGAUUUAUUGGGCGUAAAGCGAGCGCAGGCGGUUAGAAAAGUCUGAAGUGAAAGGCAGUGGCUCAACCAUUGUAGGCUUUGGAAACUGUUUAACUUGAGUGCAGAAGGGGAGAGUGGAAUUCCAUGUGUAGCGGUGAAAUGCGUAGAUAUAUGGAGGAACACCAGUAGCGAAGGCGACUUUCUGGUCUGUAACUGACGCUGAUGUGCGAAAGCGUGGGGAUCAAACAGG
rnacentral:rRNA from 1 species